AUUGAACGCUGGCGGCAGGCCUAACACAUGCAAGUAGAGCGAGCGGCGAACGGGUGAGUAAUGUAUGGGGACUGCCCGAUAGAUGGGGAUAACUAAUGGAAAAGGUAGCUUAUACCGCAGACUAUAGGAUAACCCAUAUGGGAUUAGCUAGUAGGGGAGGUAAUAGCUCACUUAGGCGACGAUCCCUAGCUGGUCUGAGAGGAUAAUCGGCACCACUGUGCCGGAGAACGGGCCCAGACCCCUACGGAGGCACAAGUGGGGAAUCUUGCACAAUGGGCGCAAUCCUAAUGCAGACAUGCGGCGUGUAGGAAGAAGUCCCUGGGGUUGUAAAGUAUUUUCAGUCGGUAGGCGUUACCGACAGAAGAAGCACCGGCUAACUCCGUGCCAGCAGCCGCGGUAAUUC
rnacentral:rRNA from 1 species